AUGGUGGCCAUGAAGACGAAGGGGCAGGAGGACGAGGCGCCCGAGGAGCGCGUGCCGCACCUGCCGUGGAUGCGGCACCCCGUCGACAUCGACUCCUUCUCCGGCUGCCCCGUCACGAGCCUCCCCCGCCUCGACCCCAGAUUGGCAGAAGCGUUGCAGCGGAUGGGAAUCGAAUCUUUUUUCCCAGUUCAGGUUUCGACAUGGCUGGAAACAAUUGGCCCUGGUGCUUUUCAGAGGGAUAUCUGUAUUAACUCCCCGACCGGGUCCGGCAAAACUCUUGCUUAUGCCUUGCCUAUUGUGCAAAUGCUCUCCACUCGGAAAGUAAGGUGCUUGCGUGCUUUGGUUGUGCUGCCUACACGGGAUUUAGCAUUGCAGGUUAAAGAGGUUUUUGAUGUUAUUGCUCCUGUGGUGGGCUUGACAGUAGCAUCAGCGGUUGGUCAGUCCUCCAUUGCGGAUGAAAUCUCAAAUCUGAUCAAGAAGUCCAAACAAGAGCUUUACCCAUCGCUUGAUGAUGAAUAUGUCGAAAUGGAACCACAGACUAAAGUUGAUAUAUUGGUGGCAACACCUGGAAGAUUGAUGGAUCAUAUCAACAUGACUAAAGGUUUUAGUCUGGAGCAUCUUCAAUACCUGGUUGUUGAUGAGACAGAUAGGAUGUUAAGGGAGGCAUAUCAGUCCUGGUUGCCAACAGUUAUCCAGUUUACUCGCCCGACUAAUCAAGAUCAUUUCCGGCAUGACACUGCUGGACGAACUCUACUGCAUCCAUUGACCACCAUCAGAAGAUCGGGCGUCGAACGAGGAUUUAAAGGUAAAUGCUAUCCAAGACUGGCAAAGAUAGUCUGUUCUGCUACACUGACCCAAGACCCCAGCAAACUUUCUCAACUUGAGCUGCAUCAUCCUCUGCUGUUGAAUAGUGGAAAGAAGCGUUACAGAAUUCCUACAAAGCUGGAGUCCUACAAGCUGAUUUGUACAUCAAACAUAAAGCCGCUGUGCCUCAUUGUUCUUCUCCAAGAGCUGCGUGGGGAGAAGUGCUUGGUUUUUACCAAAUCUGUAGAUGAUAGUCACAGACUAAGCACUUUACUGGGAUUUUUUGAUGACUUGCCCUUUAAGUUUAGUGAAUUUUCAAGUUUGCAGCGUGAAUCUACUCGAAGGAAGACGUUGGCAGCCUUCAAGGAAGGGAAAAUAGAUGUUCUCAUUGGCUCAGAUAUAAUGGCUCGAGGAAUACAUAUUGACGGUUUGAGAUAUGUUAUCAACUAUGAGAUGCCGCAGUAUGUGAAAACAUACAUCCACCGAGCAGGCCGAACUGCCAGGGCAGGCGAAUCUGGUUCUUGCUUCACGUUUUUAAGGAAAAAUGAGGUUAAAAGAUUUGCCAAGAUGCUGAAGAAGGCAGAUGGUUCUAGCUGCAUCCUUCGCUCGCUACCCGAGGAAUCAAUAGAUAGCCUUCGCCCAGUUUUUGAGACCGCUCUGGAGAAACUGAAAGAUAAAUUGAAAGGGUCUGCCGAACCAGAAGCAUCGAAGAAAUCCAACAAGUCGGGAGAUAAAGCGCCGGGAGCUUUGAAAAGAAAGAGAGGCAAGCAAACGUGA
rnacentral:rRNA from 1 species